rnacentral:misc_RNA from 1 species
UUUUGAUUCAAAAGUUUAAAUCUCUAUCUAUCUAUCUCCCUCCUCUCUCGGCAAUAAUUUACCGCCAAAAAAUGAGGAUCUCCGAGAUCUCCACGCCGGACCUCCGGCAAUCUAACCAACAACCCCAAUCCCAUCACCAUCACUUCCUCUCUCUAAUCGACUCUCUAAUCAAGCAAACUGAAAACUUCUCUCUUGCCAAUCCUUUACCGGAAAAAAUCCCUUCCGACCUCCGCCAAAUGCUCACUCAGCUCACUCAACUCGUCCCUUUCCCUAACUCCGUCAACCUCCAAAUAUGGAAGCUCAGCUACCGCCUCUGGAAUGCCUGCGUCGACAUCUCCAAUGCAGCUUCUAUCCGUCCCUCAUCCUCAACAUCAAUCACCGAAAGCAACGCCAUUCUAAGACACGUCGCCGCCGAUAUGCUCUUUCUAGCUGGCGACGUCGUCGGUGUACCAUCUCCGGUCAUCAAGUCUGCUUCCUUCUACCAUAAGACUGGCCUCGUCUGGUAUGAUCUAAGAAAGUUCGAUCUCGCUUCCACUUGCUUUGAAAGAGCCACAGAUAUCGUUUCAAAAAUCGAUAUAACAAGAAUAUCUGAUUGGGGAGAGAGAAAAUUACUGCUGGAUCUUAAUCUCGCGAGAUCUCGGACUGCCUGGGAAGUAUCAGAUAGGAACCUAGCGAUGACGCUACUAAAUCGGGCGAAAAGUAUGCUUUUCGGAUCAUCCGAUCACUACAAAAUGCUAGCCAUUCAAUAUUUAGUAUUUGGCAAGAGCUUAUUAUCGAAGAAUGAUGCCAAUGCUUUCAACCAAGCGUUGAAGCUCUUGAACGAAGCUCUAGAUCUAUGCCAGAAAGGAUGCAGCGCAUCGAGAACACGAGAACAAACGGUGGAGCUCAAGGAAUUGAGAUCCAAAGCACUCCGGUUCAUCUCGGCCGUACAUUUGCAAAAAGGAGAAUACGAGAGUGUGAUUAAAUGCGUUAGGGUUUUGAGAGAAGGCAGUGGUGGUGGUGACGACAGUGCGGACCACCACGCUAGUCUCCCUGUUUUGGCGAUGAAGGCCUGGUUGGGUUUAGGGAGGCAUGAAGAGGCGGAGAAGGAGCUGAGGGGCAUGGUUGUGAGUAAGGGAAUUCCUGAGGGCGUUUGGGUUUCGGCAGUGGAAGCAUUCUUUGAGGCAGCGGGUACAGCAGGAGCGGAGACCACCAAGGGAUUGUUUCUAGGACUCUUGGGAAGAUGCCACGUAAGCGCCAGCGCAGCAGUUAGGGUGGCUCACAGGUUGAUUGGGGAUUGCGUUGGCGGUGGGGAAGGUUCCAGAGUAAGGGCCAAAGUGGUGUCAGAGCUGGUGUCUGAUGAGAGAGUGGUGGCGCUUUUUGCUGGCGAGGCGGCUGCCCAAGAGAGGAAAGCAAUGCACGCUGUUCUUUGGAAUUGUGCUUCAGAUCAUUUUAGAUCAAAAGAUUACAUGACAAGUGCAGAGUUGUUUGAAAAGUCACUGCUUUAUAUUCCAUAUGACAUAGAGAACAGAAUUCUCCGAGCCAAGGGCUUCAGAGUUUUGUGUCUCUGCUACCUUGCUCGCAAUCAGCUUGAUAGGGCCCAAGAAUACAUCAAUGAGGCUGAAACGCUUGAACCCAACACUGCCAGUGCUUUUCUUAAGUUCAAGAUCUAUUUGCAGAAAAACAACCACAGCGGGGCUAUCAAUCAGAUCCAAGAAAUGAAAGCUUGCCUGGAUUUCACACCAGACUUUCUUUCCCUCUCAGCCCAUGAAGCUAUUGCUUGCCAUGCUCCUUCCAUUGCUGUUGCCUCUUUAUCCAGUCUCCUGAAUUUCUAUACCUCAGGAAAGCCCAUGCCAUCCACAGAAGUUGAAGUGUUACGAACUUUAGUCACAAUCCUCAAUACGGACCCUGGCAAUGAAUCAGAAGUCCUCAAGUUCAUGAAAUGGGCUCAUGCCAGAGUAUCUGAGCUUGGGAGUGAAAGCUUUUUGGGGAAAGGUGAAGUUGGCAGACAAGAACAAAAGUGGUUUGCAGUGACUUCAUGGAAUUUUGGGAUAAAAUGUGGGAAGGAGAAGAACUAUGAAUUAUGUGCAGAAUUUUUAAGAUUGAUAUCAGAAUUCUAUGCUGGUCUUAAGGAUGAGCAAGAUAAAGAAAACGGAUUUAUGGUUUGUAAAUCAUUGAUAUUGACUGUAUCUGCCAUCAUAGCUUCGGAGAAUCAAAAGAAGGUUGCAUUGGAGGACUCCGAAGUGAAACACGCUGCUGAACUGCUAGAUAAAGCAGGGAAGAUGCUAACGUCAAUCUCAAUGGAAGCUCAAUUUAAUGAUGAUAGAAUUACUACAAUUGAGCCGGAGUUUUUCUUCAUUCACACUUUCUGUGCCUAUGAUAUAUGUGGACGAAUCGAUAAUUUAGGGUCCCAACAACAACUCCACAUUGUAAAGAGUUUUGCCAGCUCAAAGGCCUGCAAUCCAAAGUACCUUCUCCAAAUUGGUCUCAAUGCCUCUCGAGGUCCACGAUCUAACCCUGAGGUAGCAACCUUUGCUCUAAAUGAGUGCCUUUCAGCCCUUCUUUCAUCACCGUCACCGGACUAUCAAGAUGUUGCUCUUAUAGUUCGAACACUGAUUGUUGUAGCAAGCAUUCACAAAGGUGAUUCAGAUGAUGAUGCUGUGCAUGUCAUGUACAAGCAAGCAUACCGCAUAAUGGUUGGAUUGAAAGAUGGUGAGUAUCCCAUAGAGGAAGGAAAAUGGCUUGCAAUGACCGCAUGGAAUCGAGCAGCGGUGCCCGUGAGGCUGGGGUUGGUUGAUGCAGCAAAGAAAUGGAUGAACAUUGGCUUGGAGCUUACAAGAAAGGUUUUAGGAAUGGAGACUUACAGGGCGUGCAUGGAGGAUUUUGUUGCUGAUUUUGAAAAGAGAUUUCAAUUGCAGAAUAAUGGUUAAAGCAUUUGCCUAAUAGUACAACGUGAAAAUCUUGUAAAGGUUAUUAAAUAGUACAUGUUCAUCAAACAGAAUAAAUUUCUCCACAAAAAUCUCUUCCUAAUCAUUUAAAAAAAAUCAUAAAAUUAGAAUUCACUAUACCCAUCAAUUCUCCUUUUAACUAUUUAGCUCCUUAGCCCUAGUGUAUGCAGGAAUACUUCAACUCCUUAAGAGUACAAUAACCCAACAUCUGACGCUGAAAGCAAGAAUAACCAAUUAAUUAAUUGCUUCUUCUCAGAAGUGAGGGGGCUUACAUCGUUUUCUUGCUCACAAAAUUUGCUCGUAGGCAAGACCAGGGUCAUCCAAACACUUGGAGCUCUAUUAUGCAUGAAGCUCUAGUUUUUCAACAAUAAAUGUCCUGACUUCAACAAACUUCUCUCUUAGAUUAAACCCCAUCUCAUACUGCAUCUCACAUCUCUUGCAUUGGAGGCACCGUCAAUGGUUUUGAUAUUUUUCAACAGCAAGAAAUCUUGGCUAUGCACGGUGGCGCAAUGAUUCGUAGCCCAAUGGAAAUGUUGGGACAUUUUCGCUCUUGCCAAACUAUGGAGCCUGAGUACGGUUACGUCGAGCAUACAUAGGGCAAGAGGGGCCAGCAGUGAAAGCCUCUUGGCGCUGCAAAGAAGAGGCAAUAGCAACAACAGUCUGUGAUGGACUAUGGUGGAGGCAGAGGAUGACGCUGCUUCGGGUAGGGAUGGAUGGAAGGGUGAGAUCGUGAAAGAGGCGGA